UACGUAGGUGGCAAGCGUUAUCCGGAUUUACUGGGUGUAAAGGGCGUGUAGGCGGGACUGCAAGUCAGAUGUGAAAACUAUGGGCUCAACUCAUAGCCUGCAUUUGAAACUGCAGGACUUGAGUGAAGUAGAGGUAGGCGGAAUUCCCGGUGUAGCGGUGAAAUGCGUAGAGAUCGGGAGGAACACCAGUGGCGAAGGCGGCCUGCUGGACAAUAACUGACGCUGAGGCGCGAAAGCGUGGGGAGCAA
rnacentral:rRNA from 1 species